rnacentral:rRNA from 1 species
GACGGAGGAUGCAAGCGUUAUCCGGAAUGAUUGGGCGUAAAGCGUCCGCAGGUGGCAGUUCAAGUCUGCUGUCAAAGACCGGGGCUUAACUUCGGAAAGGCAGUGGAAACUGAACAGCUAGAGUAUGGUAGGGGCAGAGGGAAUUCCUGGUGUAGCGGUGAAAUGCGUAGAGAUCCGGAAGAACACCGGUGGCGAAGGCGGCCUGCUGGGCUAUGGCUGACACUGAGGCGCGAAAGCGUGGGGAGCAAACAGG